UGGGGAAUAUUGCACAAUGGGCGCAAGCCUGAUGCAGCCAUGCCGCGUGUGUGAAGAAGGCCUUCGGGUUGUAAAGCACUUUCAGCGAGGAGGAAGGUGGUGAGCUUAAUACGCUCAUCAAUUGACGUUACUCGCAGAAGAAGCACCGGCUAACUCCGUGCCAGCAGCCGCGGUAAUACAGAGGGUGCAAGCGUUAAUCGGAAUUACUGGGCGUAAAGCGCACGCAGGCGGUUUGUUAAGUCAGAUGUGAAAUCCCCGGGCUCAACCUGGGAACUGCAUUUGAAACUGGCAAGCUAGAGUCUCGUAGAGGGGGGUAGAAUUCCAGGUGUAGCGGUGAAAUGCGUAGAGAUCUGGAGGAAUACCGGUGGCGAAGGCGGCCCCCCUGGACGAAGACUGACGCUCAGGUGCGAAAGCGUGGGGAGCAAACAGGAUUAGAUACCCUGGUAGUCCACGCUGUAAACGAUGUCGAUUUUGGAGGUUGUGCCCUUGAGGCGUGGNUUCCGGAGCUAACGCGUUAAAUCGACCG
rnacentral:rRNA from 1 species